rnacentral:rRNA from 1 species
CAGGCUUAACACAUGCAAGUCGAGGGGCAGCAUGGUCUUAGCUUGCUAAGGCCGAUGGCGACCGGCGCACGGGUGAGUAACACGUAUCCAACCUGCCGUCUACUCUUGGACAGCCUUCUGAAAGGAAGAUUAAUACAAGAUGGCAUCAUGAGUCCGCAUGUUCACAUGAUUAAAGGUAUUCCGGUAGACGAUGGGGAUGCGUUCCAUUAGAUAGUAGGCGGGGUAACGGCCCACCUAGUCUUCGAUGGAUAGGGGUUCUGAGAGGAAGGUCCCCCACAUUGGAACUGAGACACGGUCCAAACUCCUACGGGAGGCAGCAGUGAGGAAUAUUGGUCAAUGGGCGAGAGCCUGAACCAGCCAAGUAGCGUGAAGGAUGACUGCCCUAUGGGUUGUAAACUUCUUUUAUAAAGGAAUAAAGUCGGGUAUGGAUACCCGUUUGCAUGUACUUUAUGAAUAAGGAUCGGCUAACUCCGUGCCAGCAGCCGCGGUAAUACGGAGGAUCCGAGCGUUAUCCGGAUUUAUUGGGUUUAAAGGGAGCGUAGAUGGAUGUUUAAGUCAGUUGUGAAAGUUUGCGGCUCAACCGUAAAAUUGCAGUUGAUACUGGAUAUCUUGAGUGCAGUUGAGGCAGGCGGAAUUCGUGGUGUAGCGGUGAAAUGCUUAGAUAUCACGAAGAACUCCGAUUGCGAAGGCAGCCUGCUAAGCUGCAACUGACAUUGAGGCUCGAAAGUGUGGGUAUCAAACAGGAUUAGAUACCCUGGUAGUCCACACGGUAAACGAUGAAUACUCGCUGUUUGCGAUAUACUGCAAGCGGCCAAGCGAAAGCGUUAAGUAUUCCCACCUGGGGAGUACGCCGGCAACGGUGAAACUCAAAGGAAUUGACGGGGGCCCGCACAAGCGGAGGAACAUGUGGUUUAAUUCGAUGAUACGCGAGGAACCUUACCCGGGCUUAAAUUGCAGAUGAAUUACGGUGAAAGCCGUAAGCCGCAAGGCAUCUGUGAAGGUGCUGCAUGGUUGUCGUCAGCUCGUGCCGUGAGGUGUCGGCUUAAGUGCCAUAACGAGCGCAACCCUUGUUGUCAGUUACUAACAGGUUCCGCUGAGGACUCUGACAAGACUGCCAUCGUAAGAUGUGAGGAAGGUGGGGAUGACGUCAAAUCAGCACGGCCCUUACGUCCGGGGCUACACACGUGUUACAAUGGGGGGUACAGAGGGCCGCUACCACGCGAGUGGAUGCCAAUCCCCAAAACCUCUCUCAGUUCGGACUGGAGUCUGCAACCCGACUCCACGAAGCUGGAUUCGCUAGUAAUCGCGCAUCAGCCACGGCGCGGUGAAUACGUUCCCGGGCCUUGUACACACCGCCCGUCAAGCCAUGGGAGCCGGGGGUACCUGAAGUGCGUAACCGAGAGGAGCGCCCUAGGGUAAAACUGGUGAC